rnacentral:lncRNA from 1 species
AUGCACAAACACAUGCACACUCACACACACAGAGGCAUGCACCAACACACAUGCACUCACAUAGAGGCAUGCACAAACACAUGUGCACUCACACAGAGGCAUGCACAAACACAUGCACACACACAGAGGCAUGCAAAAACACACGCACACACACACAGAAGCAUGCACCAACACACGUGCACUCACACAGAGGCAUGCACAAACACAUGCACACUCACACAGAGGCAUUCACAAACACAUGCACACUCACACAGAGGCAUGCAUAAACACAUGCACACUCACACAGAGGCAUGCAUAAACACAUGCACACUCACACAGAGGCAUGCACCAACACAUGUACACUCACACAGAGGCAUGCACAAACACACACGCACUCACACAGAGGCAUGCACAAACACAUGCACACACAUGGGCAUGCACAUACAGAGGCAUGCACAAACAUGCACACACACAGAGGCAUGCAAAAGCACACACAGAGGCAUGCACAAACACAUGUGCACUCACACAGAGGCAUGCACCAACACAUGCACACACACACAGAGGCAUGCACCAACACAUCUACACUCACACAGAGGCAUGCACAAACACACACUCACACAGAGGCAUGCACAAACACAUGCACACACACAGAGGCAUGCACAAACAUGCACACACACAGAGGCAUGCACCAACACAUGUGCACUCACGCAGAGGCAUGCACAAACAUGUGCACUCACACAGAGGCAUGCACAAACACAUGCACGCUCACACACACAGGCAUGCACAAACACAUGUACACACACAGAGGCAUGCACAAACAUACACAUGGUGGCAGGCAAAAACACAUGCGCACUCACACACACAGAGGCAUGCACCAACACAUGCACACUCACACACACAGAGGCAUGCACCAACACAUGCACACUCACACACACAGAGACAUGUACAAACACACACACUCACACUCACGCUUCCAGGGAUACCAGCUGUCCUUUCAAGGGAAGGACAAGUCAAGCUUAUUGGCCUCAGGAAGGUUAA